rnacentral:rRNA from 1 species
AGUACCCUGACUGUGCUAAGGUAGCGUAAUCAGUUGGCUUUUAAAUGAAGUCGAGAAUGAAUGGGUCCACGGGAAUAAGCUGUCUCUUUUGUUUUUCCAUGAAAUUAUUUAGAAGGUGAAAAUCCCUUCAACGAGAAAAAAGACGAGAAGACCCUUAGAGUUUUAUGUUUAGCUUGUUAGUUUUUGCUGGGGCGGCAAGGAGACAGUUAACUCUCCAAUUUUAAAUAAGAUGGCCUUAAUGAGAAGUUUCAAUAAACUACCUUAGGGAUAACAGCAUAAUUAAUUUUAGUUUGUGACCUCGAUGUUGGACUAGGGAUCUUUUGGCUAGCAGCCAAAAGUGAUGGUUCUGUUCGAAC